AAAAAAUUGAUAGCACAUGUUUAAUUUAAAUAGAUGGCUACCUUUAAUGAGAAUUUUAUGCAAAUAGCAUUUUACGUAUGUAGAAUUUUACGUAACGAAUAAUGUUAUUAAAUAACUCGAAAUAUUCGGAUCACUGAAAGUAAAUCAUGACGCUAGAACAUUUUUUGCAUAACAAAAAUUAUUCAUAUAUUUCAAUAUUUUGUGAUUUAUCAUGUACGAAGAGUGUUAAUGAAAUGCAGUAUUAAAUGAAUUCGAAAUAAAACUGAAGAAUCUCGAACUGAAGCAACGGCAUACAUUAGUGUCAAAAAUACCUAAAAUAAUGAAGAGUAGCAACAAAGCAAAGCACGGUUCAUUUAAAGGUGUUACAAAUUGUGAUAAAAAAAAGUGUAUAUAUAUCUUGAUUUCUUUUUAGAAUCCAGAUUUACGAUAAUGCAUCUGUAUACGCUGUAAAACUGAUCCAAUUUUACGAAGAAAAACUUAUCUAUUUUGUUGCAACCCGCACGUGAAGAAGUGUAAAUUACUAAGUCAACAAGGAACACAAAGAAGUGACCCUGUUUAUGACCAUUUUUAUAUAGAAACAUAUGUAAACGUAUUCCAUAAUUUAUUGUACUCGGAUUAAAAUGAAAUGUUUGCCAAGAAUAAAGGAAUGCAAACAUAUUCAGAAAGAGGAAACCACUAUAAUAAAAUGAACGUCAAACAUUCUUCUUCUUUGUGUUCUUUGUUGUAUAAUAUUGUCGUGUAAUUGCUGGAAAGUAUUUGCAUGUAAUUAAUAAGUUAAGUGACGCUAGCGUUAUAAACGAUGGUACAAAUUUUAAAUGUUUUACCAAGAAUAAUUCAACAGUUGACAGGACUCGUCGAACAACACUAAUCAAUCACGAUGUAACAACCGUUACUCCAGACUAAUGUGACUGUAACCGUUCUCUCUUAUUUUCUAUAGACUCCUACUGCGUGAGUCAACGUCCGUCAGCUUUUAUUGUGCGACAGCGUUCCCCAACUUUCGUGUCCAUUAUGAUGUCUAAUGAUUCAUUAAAAAAAUAAGAAAAUUAUUGAGCUGCAAUGCAUACACACACACACCUAGUAUUAACAAAAUCGUGAUAUUAAAAUAUAAUAGAAACAAAAUUGUUUAAAGUAUAGAAACUAUCCUUGACUAAUAAAUCUUGAAUCUAUUGUAUACUAAGAAUAUGAAUCUUAUUAUGUACAAUAUAUACUGUAUUUAUU